GAUGAACGCUGGCGGCGUGCCUAAUACAUGCAAGUCGAGCGAACAGAUGAGGAGCUUGCUCCUCUGACGUUAGCGGCGGACGGGUGAGUAACACGUGGAUAACCUACCUAUAAGACUGGGAUAACUUCGGGAAACCGGAGCUAAUACCGGAUAAUAUAUUGAACCGCAUGGUUCAAUAGUGAAAGACGGUUUUGCUGUCACUUAUAGAUGGAUCCGCGCCGCAUUAGCUAGUUGGUAAGGUAACGGCUUACCAAGGCAACGAUGCGUAGCCGACCCGAGAGGGUGGUUGGCCCCCCCUGAACCGGGGCACGGUUCCGGCUCCCUAGGGAGGCCGCCGUAGGGAAUCCUCCGCAAUUGGCCGAAAGCCUGCCGAGCCACCGCGCGUGGGUGGUUGAAGUUCUCCGAUCCGUAAACCCUUUUAAUUGGGGAAAAAAAAUUUUUAAGGUACCAAUGCCCGUCUGACGGUACCCUAUCAGAAAGCCACGGCUAACUACGUG
rnacentral:rRNA from 1 species